ACGAACAUAAACACAGCAAUACUCAAGAGCUGAUCUGAUAACCAAUGUGGCAGCUAAGUGACUAGCAGGUACAGAGAUGCUGACACAUAGACAUGAGAUCCGGGGUCAAAUUUUGGAGCCUGACAUCUUCAAGAAGAAAAAUGGAAACACUGCUAAGUGUUCACACUUUCCCUGUGAAAGCACAGAAACAACACUCCCAAGCCCAG